rnacentral:rRNA from 1 species
CCCGACUGCUAUCAGAGUGGGACUAAGCCAUGCGAGUUAACAUAGCAAUAUGUGGCAUACGGCUCAGUAACACGUAGUCAACAUGCCCAGGGGACGUGGAUAACCUCGGGAAACUGAGGAUAAACCGCGAUAAGUCACUACUUCUGGAAUGGGUAAUGACUAAAAUCUAUAUGGCCCCUGGAUUGGACUGCGGCCGAUCAGGCUGUUGGUGAGGUAAUGGCCCACCAAACCUGUAACCGGUACGGGCUCUGAGAGGAGGAGCCCGGAGAUGGGCACUGAGACAAGGGCCCAGGCCCUAUGGGGCGCAGCAGGCGCGAAACCUCUGCAAUAGGCGAAAGCCUGACAGGGUUACUCUGAGUGAUUUCCGUUAAGGAGAUCUUUUGGCACCUCUAAAAAUGGUGCAGAAUAAGGGGUGGGCAAGUCUGGUGUCAGCCGCCGCGGUAAUACCAGCACCCCGAGUGGUCGGGACGUUUAUUGGGCCUAAAGCAUCCGUAGCCGGUUCUACAAGUCUUCCGUUAAAUCCACCUGCUUAACAGAUGGGCUGCGGAAGAUACUAUAGAGCUAGGAGGCGGGAGAGGCAAGCGGUACUCGAUGGGUAGGGGUAAAAUCCGUUGAUCCAUUGAAGACCACCAGUGGCGAAGGCGGCUUGCCAGAACGCGCUCGACGGUGAGGGAUGAAAGCUGGGGGAGCAAACCGGAUUAGAUACCCGGGUAGUCCCAGCUGUAAACGAUGCAGACUCGGUGAUGAGUUGGCUUCUUGCCAACUCAGUGCCGCAGGGAAGCCGUUAAGUUUGCCGCCUGGGGAG